GACGAACGCUGGCGGCGUGCCUAAUACAUGCAAGUAGAACGCUGAAGAGAGGAGCUUGCUCUUCUUGGAUGAGUUGCGAACGGGUGAGUAACGCGUAGGUAACCUGCCUUGUAGCGGGGGAUAACUAUUGGAAACGAUAGCUAAUACCGCAUAACAAUGGAUGACACAUGUCAUUUAUUUGAAAGGGGCAAUUGCUCCACUACAAGAUGGACCUGCGUUGUAUUAGCUAGUAGGUGAGGUAAUGGCUCACCUAGGCGACGAUACAUAGCCGACCUGAGAGGGUGAUCGGCCACACUGGGACUGAGACACGGCCCAGACUCCUACGGGAGGCAGCAGUAGGGAAUCUUCGGCAAUGGGGGCAACCCUGACCGAGCAACGCCGCGUGAGUGAAGAAGGUUUUCGGAUCGUAAAGCUCUGUUGUAAGUCAAGAACGGGUGUGAGAGUGGAAAGUUCACACUGUGACGGUAGCUUACCAGAAAGGGACGGCUAACUACGUGCCAGCAGCCGCGGUAAUACGUAGGUCCCGAGCGUUGUCCGGAUUUAUUGGGCGUAAAGCGAGCGCAGGCGGUUUGAUAAGUCUGAAGUUAAAGGCUGUGGCUCAACCAUAGUUCGCUUUGGAAACUGUCAAACUUGAGUGCAGAAGGGGAGAGUGGAAUUCCAUGUGUAGUGGUGAAAUGCGUAGAUAUAUGGAGGAACACCGGUGGCGAAAGCUGCUCUCUGGUCUGUAACUGACGCUGAGGCUCGAAAGCGUGGGGAGCGAACAGGAUUAGAUACCCUGGUAGUCCACGCCGUAAACGAUGAGUGCUAGGUGUUGGAUCCUUUCCGGGAUUCAGUGCCGCAGCUAACGCAUUAAGCACUCCGCCUGGGGAGUACGACCGCAAGGUUGAAACUCAAAGGAAUUGACGGGGGCCCGCACAAGCGGUAGAGCAUGUGGUUUAAUUCGAAGCAACGCGAAGAACCUUACCAGGUCUUGACAUCCCGAUGCUAUUUCUAGAGAUAGAAAGUUACUUCGGUACAUCGGUGACAGGUGGUGCAUGGUUGUCGUCAGCUCGUGUCGUGAGAUGUUGGGUUAAGUCCCGCAACGAGCGCAACCCCUAUUGUUAGUUGCCAUCAUUCAGUUGGGCACUCUAGCGAGACUGCCGGUAAUAAACCGGAGGAAGGUGGGGAUGACGUCAAAUCAUCAUGCCCCUUAUGACCUGGGCUACACACGUGCUACAAUGGUUGGUACAACGAGUUGCGAGUCGGUGACGGCGAGCUAAUCUCUUAAAGCCAAUCUCAGUUCGGAUUGUAGGCUGCAACUCGCCUACAUGAAGUCGGAAUCGCUAGUAAUCGCGGAUCAGCACGCCGCGGUGAAUACGUUCCCGGGCCU
rnacentral:rRNA from 1 species